CCUGUAAAUGUGUAAGAGUUUUGUUACUGCUCUGUGCCCAUCAUCUGCUAUUUCCAGCACUUAAUCAAGCCACUCUUCUUUAAAACAUGAUGAUGUUUUAAUUCACAUGUCAUUGUGUUUGUGUUGGCUCUUGUGUUGAGCUACUUCGUCUGCAACCAUUAAUUAAUUCGAUCUCUACAGUGACUGAUUUGGCGCACAUCUUGUCUUUCCAUGAAACCUAUAAACCGCAUUCUGCCGGUUCUAACUCUAUACCAACACCUAUACUCUAUAGUGGUUUGCAAUUUUUUCGCAUUUACUAGAAUUCAGUCAAAUGGCUUUCCCAAUUCAUUUUUGCGCCUGUCACAUUAUUUCUUCUGUCGCGACUACGCAGCUUAGAGGGGACAUUGUUCAUAAUUCACUUUAGAUAAAAGAAUCUGCUAAUUGAAUGAAUAAAUGUUUGACACUGAUAAUAUAUGAUAUUUACAAGAUAAGCAGAGCACCAUGGACAGCAGCAACUCAAGCAAAAUGAACCAGACAUAUACUGAUUAUGAUUAUGUUUCUGACAAUGUCUACAAAGAUAUUUGUCAGGAUUGUUUUAAUGAGCUGAAUAAUUUUAUGAGAGUGAGUUCUCUGGUCUUCUACUACCUGACCUUGAUCCUCGGCGUUCCUGGAAAUGCAUUUGUCUUGUAUGUUGCUGGAUUGAAGAUGAAGAGGACUGUUAAUACAGUAGGGUUUCUCAAUCUAGCGAUUGCUGACCUCUUGUGAUGCCUUUCCACUCUUUACUAUGUUACCAAGAGCACUUUUAAUGAACACUGGCCGUAUGGAUCCAUAAUGUGCAAGAUUUUCCCCUUCAUUAUGUGCAUCACCAUGUUUGCCAGCGUUUUCACCUUCACCUUGACUGGUCUGGAUCAGUUUACUCAGGUGAUAACGCCGGUUUGGGCUCAGAAUCAUCAUAGUAAAAUCUCCAGUGUUGAAAUCCCAGUGUUAAGGACUUUCAGAGUAAAGAGUUAAAGUUGUGGUGUUGAAUUUCAAACAAUUAAUAGCUGGUGUAAACAGCACCCUCAUGCUUGUGUAAAAACGGAGAGUAACCCUUAUUAACACUGUUGAGUGUUAUUAGUCACAUCCAAGACAUGUUCUCAUGUGCGAGCCUAACCCAUCUGAAAUAUUUUUCAAAGACGCCAUUUACUUUGUUCGCGAUGUGAAGCAUAUAAGGAUGUAAAACAGCAAAAUAAAGUGUUUAGUCUUACUUACAAAAUGUUUUUUCAUAUCGUAACGUUUUAUAACGAUAUUUAUGUGCUGUUUGUGCCUAAACGUUUCUCAAAGACAUUGAUUUAAAGUGAUAUUUACGUGCUGACAGGGAAGUUGGUUUUAAAAAGGUGAACACUGAAAGUAAGUGUUUUGCCUCAUUUACGAUAUGUAUUUUAUAAGAUAGUAUUACUAUAUGACGAUAUUUAUUUGCUGCGCACACCUGAACAAGCCUAACAUUAACCGUUUCUCACAGAUUUGGAUUGCUAUGCAGUGCGCAGAUGCGGAGGUCACAGGGAAACACCAGAAAUGGUUCUUGCUGGCUUAACAGAAAAAUCAAAAGGAGAAGAUGUGCUUGAAGAGUAUGAAGCCACCAAUACACGAGAGUCGACCAACCUCAACACAGGGAGAUCAGUAUGCACUUGGAAUUGUGACUUUGUCUCUGUCGUUAGAAGACCCAUUUUCUAGGGCAGGUUUGUGAUGCUGCAAAUAGGAGUGGAUAUCUUGCUUGGCUGAAAACUGCAGAGAAACGCAUUGUUCUGAAAAAAGGAAUGACACUAUUCUCUCCAAAGAGGACCAAACACCAUCACAGAGUUUGAUUAGUGAUCAUUAACAUGCAUUCUGCAUUUAUGGUAAUGAAUGGAAUGCUGUUGUUUAACCUGAUAAAUGUCAGUAUUAUAAAUCUUGUAACAUUAAGAGUACAUAUGGACCAAAUAAGAAUGUUUUUUGUGUCUUUCCACUGAUUUGCUUUGACAUUAUGAUGUUUAAUUGUUGUAAGACCGUGUUCUUUACAUUGAAAUUUUGAAUUUUGAGUUUUGAAUUGAAACAUUGAAAGUGAAGACAUUUUGGUGCAGGGAAAAAAAAAUGA